rnacentral:rRNA from 1 species
CCCUUAGAUGUUCUGGGCCGCACGCGCGCUACACUGAUGCAUUCAACGAGUCUAAAACCUGCUCUGAUAGGGGUGGGUAAUCUUUUGAAUGUGCAUCGUGAUUGGGAUAGAUGAUUGCAAUUUUUCAUCUUCAACGAGGAAUGCCUAGUAAACGCAAGUCAUCAGCUUGCAUUGAUUACGUCCCUGCCCUUUGUACACACCGCCCGUCGCUCCUACCGAUUGAAUGAUCCGAUGAAUAUCAUGGAUUGAGGAUGCAAGCGGGUUCGCCUGUCUUCAUCUUCGAGAAGUGAAGUAAAUCUUAUCAUUUAGAGGAAGGAGAAGUCGUAACA